rnacentral:lncRNA from 1 species
ACAGGCAUACGCCACCGCACCUGGCCCAAAUUAUUAAUUGUACGUAUUCUCAUUGUUCUGCUUCUUCCAAGAAAACUGAAGUCACGGUAUUCUGAAGACUAGAGAUGAUUCAACAGGCUGUGAAUCUAUUCCAUUUGGAAUCCUACUGGGCCUGAUCUGUUUUCCAUUGCCAAGGCACUGCUGUUUAAGCUAUACCAUAUGAAGCACCCUCCCUAAAGGCUCAGGGGCCAUAGUGAAAGAGGACACAUGGGAUUGUAAGAGCCAGAUUAUGGGGGUGGAGGGUAAAGGCUGAAGCAAGUCCAUCUUGGAUGCUAACUCACUAUGUUAGCUUCUGAUUAACCCCAGUUCCAGGAAGGCUGCUGAAAUUUCCAGUUUAUGUGUUGUUCCUUGUGUAAGAGCAUGGACUUACUGCAAAUCCUGCCCUUAGGGCAAAUUCCUACCUAUUCCUGCGGAAGCAUGUGUAUCAUUCCCCUAUGGUUUAUAACCCCUGAGUCUGGGGGUAAUGGCACGGGGACCCACCAGCUUGUCUGCCGCCAUCUGGGGCUGGAGUGCAAUGGCAUGAUCUCAGCUCACUGCAACCUCUGCCUCCCGGGUUCAAGCAAUUCUCCUGUCUCAGCCUCCUGAGUAGCUGGAUUACAGAGUCUUUUCUAAGGCACCAACUACUUCCUUCAAGCAGCAGCCAGAGAUCUUUGCUUAAUGGCUGAGAAACACAGAGGAGAGACCCAGAGAGAAGGAGAAGGCCGCAUGAAGAUGGAGCAGAGACUGGAGUUAUUCAGCCAAGUCAAGGAAUGCCUGGAGCACCAGAAGCCGGAAGAGGCAAGGAAGGAUCCUCCCUUAGAGCAUUUGGAAGAGUGUGGCCCUGCCAACACCUUGACUUCAAACUUCUGGCCUCCAUAACUAUGAAAUAAAUUCUUGUUGUUUUAA